GACGAACGCUGGCGGCGUGCUUAAUACAUGCAAGUCGAGCGAGGUUACUGUUUCGGAUCCCUUCGGGGUGAAGAAGCUUUAACCUAGCGGCGGACGGGUGAGUAACGCGUGGGUAACCUACCCCAAAGUCCGGGAUAACAGCGGGAAACCGCUGCUAAUACCGGAUGUCUUUACCUUGGGGCAUCUUGAGGUAAAGAAAGGUAACGCUUUGGGAUGGGCCCGCGUCCCAUUAGCUAGUUGGUGAGGUAACGGCUCACCAAGGCGACGAUGGGUAGCCGGCCUGAGAGGGUGGACGGCCACACUGGGACUGAGACACGGCCCAGACUCCUACGGGAGGCAGCAGUAGGGAAUAUUGCGCAAUGGACGGAAGUCUGACGCAGCGACGCCGCGUGAGCGAUGAAGGUCUUCGGAUCGUAAAGCUCUGUCCUUGGGGAAGAAGGCGAAAGCUUGACGGUACCCAAGAAGAAAAGCCCCGGCUAACUACGUG
rnacentral:rRNA from 1 species